rnacentral:tRNA from 1 species
GGAGGGCUAGCCCAAUCGGCAGGGCACCCGGUCCGAACCCGGGCAAGGCGGCGACGCCGUGCGGGUUCGAAUCCCGCGCCCUCCUCCA